rnacentral:lncRNA from 1 species
AAAAUAUCAAAUUACAAAAUAAAAAACAUUAAAAAUCAGAAUCAGAAACUAGAAUUUAUUUAGAGAUUAAUGCAAUUGGUCCCAUAAUUUUUGGAUUAAAAAUGAGAGAGAUAUGAAUUUUUGAAAUAAAAGGAAAUAAAGAAAAUAAAAUCAGAAAUUAAAAAAAAUGGAAAAUCUGGAAGCGUUGAAUCACGUUCAUUAAUU